CAGUAGCCACGGGAAUACCGAGGGUGCAAGCGUUAAUCGGAAUUACUGGGCGUAAAGCGCGCGUAGGUGGUUUGUUAAGUUGGAUGUGAAAUCCCCGGGCUCAACCUGGGAACUGCAUCCAAAACUGGCAAGCUAGAGUAUGGUAGAGGGUGGUGGAAUUUCCUGUGUAGCGGUGAAAUGCGUAGAUAUAGGAAGGAACACCAGUGGCGAAGGCGACCACCUGGACUGAUACUGACACUGAGGUGCGAAAGCGUGGGGAGCAAACAGGAUUAGAUACCCCAGUAGUCCCUGUCUCUUAUAC
rnacentral:rRNA from 1 species